rnacentral:rRNA from 1 species
GAUGAACGCUCGCUACAGGCUUAACACAUGCAAGUCGCGGGGCAGCAUGGGGGUUGCUUGCAAUCCCCGAUGGCGACCGGCGCACGGGUGAGUAACGCGUAUCCAACCUGCCCUUCACCACGGGAUAACCCGGCGAAAGUCGGACUAAUACCGUAUGUUGUCCAUUGACGGCAUCCGAUUUGGACGAAAGGUUUGGCGGUGAAGGAUGGGGAUGCGUCCGAUUAGCUGGACGGCGGGGUGACGGCCCACCGUGGCGACGAUCGGUAGGGGUUCUGAGAGGAAGGUCCCCCACACUGGAACUGAGACACGGUCCAGACUCCUACGGGAGGCAGCAGUGAGGAAUAUUGGGCAAUGGGCGUAAGCCUGAACCAGCCAAGUAGCGUGCAGGAGGACGGCCCUAUGGGUUGUAAACUGCUUUUAUGCGGGGAUAAAGUGGCCCACGUGUGGGUUUUUGCAGGUACCGCAUGAAUAAGGACCGGCUAAUUCCGUG